GACGAACGCUGGCGGCGUGCCUAAUACAUGCAAGUCGAGCGGACUUAAAAAGCUUGCUUUUUAAGUUAGCGGCGGACGGGUGAGUAACACGUGGGCAACCUGCCUGUAAGACUGGGAUAACUUCGGGAAACCGGAGCUAAUACCGGAUAAUCCUUUUCUACUCAUGUAGAAAAGCUGAAAGACGGUUUACGCUGUCACUUACAGAUGGGCCCGCGGCGCAUUAGCUAGUUGGUGAGGUAACGGCUCACCAAGGCGACGAUGCGUAGCCGACCUGAGAGGGUGAUCGGCCACACUGGGACUGAGACACGGCCCAGACUCCUACGGGAGGCAGCAGUAGGGAAUCUUCCGCGAUGGACGAAAGUCUGACGGAGCAACGCCGCGUGAGUGAUGAAGGUUUUCGGAUCGUAAAACUCUGCUGUUAGGGAAGAACAAGUACGAGAGUAACUGCUCGUACCUUGACGGUACCUAACCAGAAAGCCACGGCUAACUACGUG
rnacentral:rRNA from 1 species